GCUGGAAUUUGGUGAAGGAGAAGCAGAGGAGCGGGUUCCCGUGUCCUUGAAUACCCCACUGGCUGGAUCAGAGACUGCUGAAAGGCUACAAAACCUGAGAAAGAAGCCAC